rnacentral:pre_miRNA from 1 species
AAUAAGUUCAUUUUUAGUUUUUGGUACGAUCUUUGACUUUUCGUCUUAUUUAAAUUUUUUCGCGAUUAACAUUUUUAUUUUUGUUAGAUGAUAAAACAUAAAUAACGCUUUACGUGUGGCUAUUUUUUAGUUUAUUUAUAAAUUUUUAAAUAAGACUGAUAGUCAAACGCUCAACACAUAAACUAAU